GCCUGGCUGGCUCAGUCGGUAGAGCAUGUGACUCUCGAUCUCACGGUCGUGGGCUCAAGCUCCACACUGGGCG